AGUACGGCGGAACACGUGAAAUUCCGUCGGAAUCCGGGAGGACCAUCUCCCAAGGCUAAAUACUCCCUAGUGACCGAUAGUGAACCAGUACCGUGAGGGAAAGGUGAAAAGCACCCCGGAAGGGGAGUGAAACAGUUCCUGAAACCGUGUGCCUACAAGUAGUUAGAGCCCGUUAAUGGGUGAUAGCGUGCCUUUUGUAGAAUGAACCGGCGAGUUACGAUUUGUUGCAAGGUUAAGCGGAAAAAGCGGAGCCGUAGCGAAAGCGAGUCUGAAUAGGGCGCAUAAGUAACAGGUCGUAGACCCGAAACCAGGUGAUCUACCCAUGUCCAGGAUGAAGGUAAGGUAAUACUUACUGGAGGUCCGAACCCACGCACGUUGAAAAGUGCGGGGAUGAGGUGUGGGUAGCGGAGAAAUUCCAAUCGAACUUGGAGAUAGCUGGUUCUCUCCGAAAUAGCUUUAGGGCUAGCCUCGAGGUAAAGAGUCAUGGAGGUAGAGCACUGUUUGGACUAGGGGCCCUUCUCGGGUUACCGAAUUCAGAUAAACUCCGAAUGCCAUGUACUUAUACUCGGGAGUCAGACUGCGAGUGAUAAGAUCCGUAGUCGAAAGGGAAACAGCCCAGACCACCAGUUAAGGUCCCCAAAUAUAUGUUAAGUGGAAAAGGAUGUGGGGUUGCUUAGACAACCAGGAUGUUGGCUUAGAAGCAGCCACCAUUGAAAGAGUGCGUAAUAGCUCACUGGUCGAGUGACCCCGCGCCGAAAAUGUACCGGGGCUAAACAUAUUACCGAAACUGUGGAUGAACCUCUUUAGAGGUUCGUGGUAGGAGAGCGUUCUAAGGGCGGUGAAGUCAGACCGGAAGGACUGGUGGAGCGCUUAGAAGUGAGAAUGCCGGUAUGAGUAGCGAAAGAAGGGUGAGAAUCCCUUCCACCGAAUAUCUAAGGUUUCCUGAGGAAGGCUCGUCCGCUCAGGGUUAGUCGGGACCUAAGCCGAGGCCGAUAGGCGUAGGCGAUGGACAACAGGUAGAGAUUCCUGUACCAGUGCUAAUUGUUUAACCGAUGGGGUGACACAGAAGGAUAGGGAAUCGCACGAAUGGAAAUGUGCGUCCAAGCAGUGAGUGUGAGAAGUAGGCAAAUCCGCUUCUCGCGAAGCAUGAGCUGUGAUGGGGAAGGAAAUUAAGUACGGAAGUUCCUGAUUUCACGCUGUCAAGAAAAGCCUCUAGGAAGAGUAGUACUGCCCGUACCGCAAACCGACACAGGUAGAUGAGGAGAGAAUCCUAAGGUGAGCGAGAGAACUCUCGUUAAGGAACUCGGCAAAAUGACCCCGUAACUUCGGGAGAAGGGGUGCUCUAUUAGGGUGCAAGCCCGAGAGAGCCGCAGUGAAUAGGCCCAGGCGACUGUUUAGCAAAAACACAGGUCUCUGCAAAACCGUAAGGUGACGUAUAGGGGCUGACGCCUGCCCGGUGCUGGAAGGUUAAGAGGAGUGCUUAGCUUCGGCGAAGGUACGAAUUGAAGCCCCAGUAAACGGCGGCCGUAACUAUAACGGUCCUAAGGUAGCGAAAUUCCUUGUCGGGUAAGUUCCGACCCGCACGAAAGGCGCAACGAUCUGGGCACUGUCUCAACGAGAGACUCGGUGAAAUUAUAGUACCUGUGAAGAUGCAGGUUACCCGCGACAGGACGGAAAGACCCCGUGGAGCUUUACUGCAACCUGAUAUGGAAUGUUUGUACCGCUUGUACAGGAUAGGUAGGAGCCGAAGAGACGUGUGCGCUAGCAUACGAGGAGGCAAUGGUGGGAUACUACCCUGGCUGUAUGACCAUUCUAACCCGCCACGCUUAGCGCGUGGGGAGACAGUGUCAGGUGGGCAGUUUGACUGGGGCGGUCGCCUCCUAAAGAGUAACGGAGGCGCCCAAAGGUUCCCUCAGAAUGGAUGGAAAUCAUUCGCAGAGUGUAAAGGCACAAGGGAGCUUGACUGCGAGACUGACAAGUCGAGCAGGGACGAAAGUCGGGCUUAGUGAUCCGGUGGUUCCGCAUGGAAGGGCCAUCGCUCAACGGAUAAAAGCUACCCCGGGGAUAACAGGCUUAUCUCCCCCAAGAGUCCACAUCGACGGGGAGGUUUGGCACCUCGAUGUCGGCUCGUCGCAUCCUGGGGCUGUAGUCGGUCCCAAGGGUUGGGCUGUUCGCCCAUUAAAGCGGCACGCGAGCUGGGUUCAGAACGUCGUGAGACAGUUCGGUCC
rnacentral:rRNA from 1 species